rnacentral:rRNA from 1 species
CACAUGGGUACCUACCCCGAGGUGAGGGAUACCGGCGAGAAAUCGCCGACAAUACCGCAUAGGCUCUCUGGGAACGGAGAGCAAAGUCUGGCGCGAGCCAGGCGCCUGGGGAUGGGCCUGUGGCCGAUUAGCUAGCUGGUGGGGUAACGGGCUCACCAGGGCGACGAUCGGUAGCUGGUCUGAGAGGACGAUCAGCCACACUGGGAUUGAGAACGGCCCAG